rnacentral:tRNA from 1 species
GGAAAUGUGCCUGAGCAUCAUAGGGUUACUUUGAUAGAGUAAAACACAGAGGUUAAAAUCCACUCAUUUCCU